CAUAAACAAAUGGCAGAAUAAAAUCAUAAUUUAAUGUUGGGAAAAAAGAACCGUCAUACCUUAAAUUUUUGUUUUGAACUGAGUACCGGAUAGCCCACCUGCAACCGUCAACCCAAUCUUGACCACUCAACUCCUUGAGUAGGAGAAGCACCCUCUCCAACUCGCCAUGUAAAUUCCAUAACACAUCCUUGUUAUCCUAAGAAUGUACAAUGAUUGAUGAGUUUUCAGGUUGAAAGUGGAAAGUAUACAAAUUAAUAAUUAAUAAUAAUCUAAAACCCUACCAUGAGACUUACAACAUGCUAUGACCUUUACAAGGUCACUCCAAAAGAGAAACCGUAGAAAGACAACAUAUUUAAACAAACAUACUCGUUCUUCAUAAUAUUCACCGCAAGGUACAUAUGCAUGAAUCAGGGCUACAAAAACUUCUUUUGUCAAGUGGAUUCCAGAUUGUUCCAUCUCUUCAUAAUACUACAAGUAAAUAUUCUAAUUAGCAACUCGAUUAUUGAAAAAUCAAAUAUUAAUCUCAAUACUUGAUUUAAAACUAACGACCAAGUCGCUGAAAGUAUGGGAAUAUAUGGAAUUUUUUUUUUGGAAAGGAAAUUACAUAUACAAGAAAAGGAUAACAAAUGUACAAAGAGAAUAAGCACACCAAAGGUGGCCCAAGGAAAAAACCCCAACAAUAACAUAAAAAGAACAUCUGCAACACUACUAGGGGAACUAAAAAACCAACACCAUCACAAAAACAACAACACAAGAAAUCUCCAUCCCUCAUGGUGCCCAAAACAAAUGAAGAAUGGACCAAGCCAACCCCACCAGAGAGAUAAGACACAUGAAAUCAGGAGUCGAACCAAAAACCCCGUUCAGAGGCCCCCACAAACUUGAAUAUAUGAAAUUAUUAAACUCAACUUACUUUCUUAAUCUCUUCUUUUGUUUCACAAUUUUCAAUCAAAUAGCUGAAAGUGUAUGAAUCGAGCUUUACGUUGGCAUCUCGCAUUUGUUUGAGAACCUCCAACCCACCAAUUUUGUUUUUCUACAAUAUCGAUAAAAGUGAGAAUAUGAAAGAACUAUUUUAAAUAGAUUUCAUACACUCAUUUAAAUAUAUUUUUUAAUGAAUGAAAUCAUUAAGAGAGAGAAGCUUUCAUAGUUGAAAAUCUGAGUGAGAGCACAAUCCAACAAGGCUAAAAUAUGGUUUUGGUUUUAGUCCCUGUAAAAAAAAAUUGUUGUGCCACGUGUGCAAAUCAUCACAAAAGUGGAGCCAACGACCAAAACCAAAAUGAUGCAUAUUUGCAGGGACCAAAAACAACAAAAAAAAUUUGCAUGGACUAAAACCAAAACAAGGCAUAUUUGCAAGAACCAAAACUAUAUUUUAGCCAUCCAACAAUGAUACCUCGAAAAAAUAUCCUGCCAUAAUGGCAUUAUACAUGGUUGUUUUGUAUUUGAAAUACUUUUUCUGCAAUUCAUUAACCAUCUUGUACGCACAUUCAAACUGCAUAAUGAAAGUAAAUACAUUAUCAGGUUAGUAAAAAGCUUUCUUUCAAAGGAUAUUAUUGUAGAAAACAAGCAUACAUUAAGAAAUAAAAAAGGUAAAACUUACAUCUUUCAUCACUACACAACAGUGUACCAAAAGCCAGCAAAUCUUUCCAUUUAACUCGAAAUGGUGGGGAUGGCGACUCAUGAUGGAAUAGAUUUCAAAAACCUUGAUUUUCAAUAUAGCAAAAGGAAUAGAAAAUGAACAAACAGAUUUUAGUAAAACUAGACAAACAAGAAACAAUGCUUCAAUUAAGGGGAAAAAAGGAAUCAUAAAUUUCAUUAUGUAAUUGUAAAAGUUUAAGGGUGAGCCUUGGAGAAACCGUAAAGUUGUUGUCACAUGACUGAAAGAAAGGUCAAGAGUUCAAGUCCUUCAAAUACGCUUUGAAAAACUAUUCCGCUGCUAUGUUUUGAUAUUUUAUGAAGUUGUUUUAAUUAAAUAGUAUUUUAUUCUAUUAAAUUUUGAAAAGUAGUGUGACAUGCCCGUCCGGGUUAAACUCUGAUUAUUUAUUAUUAUUAUUAAGUUUGGGAUAACGGGGUGUUACAAUAGUUUCUCUUAUAGUUUUUCCAGGUCUUCCACUACCUCAACAGGGAAGCUGCUUUAAGUAAGAAGAUAUAUAGUACCCGAAAAUGUUGAUCAGUUUCCGAACAAGUCUCUAAUAAAGAUUGCAUUGCAUGACUAGAGAGCGUAAGGCCUGCUUCAGACAUUACAUCAACCAAAUCAAUAGCUACAUCCACCUGCAUAAGUGAAAAAGAAAAAAUGAAAUGCAGUUUUGAAAAAUGAUGGUAACAGAAAAUAGAAUGAAGAGAGAAUUCGAUAUGAAGGGAGCAAACGUCCUAUUAUCGUUUCUCAUGGAUAACCGUAAUAUGAGAAUGAAUAAAGGACAAAAUUAUACCUUAUCCACAGUGGCAAUGUAAUACAAUACUAGCUUUUCAUACAUAGAGGAAGCAGGCAAAAUUUCACCAGUCAAAUUCUCCAUCUUUCUUAUGAUAUGAUCAACCUUAAAAUUAGCAACAUACCAUCUAAUGUCUAUACUUUUCAACGCAUCCGAAAUCAGUGUCUUGCGGUCACUUUCGCUUUCACAAAGCUGUGUCCUCCUCUCAAUUGUUUCCUCUUGUCUCAUUGAAGCGUAGUCAAGAAGCUUAAGCUUCUUCUCAACAGGAGGAGCUACAUUUGAAUUGAGUCUAACAGUCAAUUUCACAAAACAGUCGCUGUUCAUUAUAAAUUUAUAAUAUAGAAGAAAACUAAAACUAAGAUACGCAUUAGUUUUAGAUACCUGUAGAAGAAGCAUCAUGGAGUUUGCGGGAGGAGAGAAUCAGGUUCCAUGAAGAUGAUGUUCUGCGAAAGUUUUGUAGAUCUGAACCGAAAUAAUAGCUACGAACCCGUAGUUCUUUUAGGCAAAAGGCGAGCAUCUUUGAGCUGCACACUCACAGCUGAGGCAAGGUGAGUUUUGUAGAUCUGAAUCGGAAAUUUGUAGAAACGGGUGGAAUCGCCGUGAACAGUUAGAUCGAUCGAGUUUUGCUAGAGAUACAAAGGUGCGUCUAGGUUAACCUUUUAAGUGGUGGGAUAAGGAUGCUAUCUGGAUCCUCUCCCAUGUAUUCUCCUGCCUUCAAUCCUGCGCUAAUCUCAACCGUUGGAUUAAUCCCGAGAGACAAAAUGCUGACAUAAAAUAAAUUAGGGUUAAUAAUAUUUUUCAUCUUUAUAAUAUAUGUUAUCUUUUGUUUUUGCCUCUAUAAAUUUUUUGAUUUGAUUUGCAUAAACUUUUUUCUCAGAAAACACCCCUCCUCCAUCCAACUCAUCAAAUGUGCAUAUAUGACACUGACUUGAUUUUUUUUUUUAAAUUAUUUAUUUUUAAUUGUCCACAUCAGAUUUUAUUUUUUAAAAUAUUUAAAAAUUGACAAAACGAUAAAAAAAAAUUCAAAAUUUUUCGGUUUUUUUUUCGAAAUUCAAAUAUUAAAAAAAUCAUAAAAAAUAUUCGGUUUUUUUCAAAAUUAAAUUGUUUUUAAAGAUUCCGGAGUUCAAUUUUCAAAAUAAAAAAAAUUUAAAAUUAGAAAAAACAAAUUUGAAAUUUAAAAAAAUAAUAAUAAUAAUUUAUUUUUCGUAAAUAAAAAAUUUCCUAAAUUUGUUUAUUUUCAAAAUUUAAUUUUUAAAUUAUUUUUAUUUCUAAAUUAAUAUAAAUGAAUUUAUAUUAUAUUUUUUAAAAAAAUAGGCACAAAUGUCACGUGUACCCUUAAAAAAUAAAAAAAAAUAAUUAAUUAUACAUACAACACGCCGCCUAAGCAUAUAUGCACAGUCAGCAUGCCACACAAUGUAUCACGUCAGCAAAUAUGCACAGUCAUAUGGGGGAUGAGUGUUUUUCGAAAAAUAAAAGUUUUACAAGGAUGCAAAUCAAACCGAAAAUUUUAUAAGGGCGAAAACUAAAAAUGAGAUGUAUUACAAAGGUGAAAAGUACUUGAUUGACCAUAAUGUCAGCAGAUUUGUGAUCUCUUGUGGCCAAAAGUACUUGAUACAUACUACAACCAUAAAGUAAAAUCAUAAGGAGAAGGAAAAUAUUAUAAUAAAGGGAAAAAAUAGCAUGAAGGUUAGAAGCCCACCUCAAGUAGCUAAAUGUAGUAUACAAACAUUUGGCAGAUGCAUAUUCUCUCCAAACCAAAUUAGCAUUAUUCAAAUCUUCUGAUAGGGCACAAAGUUUUAGGAGUACAUCAAGACACGUUUGUGAAGGAACAAGACCAAGCUCUUUUUUUAUUAGAUCCAGCAAGUCCAAUUCAAAUUGCAAAUAUGUGGUGGACCCACUUUCCAACAUUAGAAAAUACGCCUAUACAUACAUGAGACCAAUAUGUCAUGCUUUAUACACGCAUAAAUAUUAAACCAAAAUUUAAUUCUUAUAAUCCAAAUUCUUAUUCAAGUCAUAAGGAAACAAAAACUUACUUCAUCAACAUUAAAAACCAGUUUUUUAAUUACUUCCGAAAUAUAAAGGAUCACUUCUUUCGGGUGCAUCAUUUUUGUAAUAAUCCUUGAGUUGUUUAAACAGUUCAAUGGUAGAACUGCAAAAUAUAAAAUGAACAUAAACAAAUGGCAGAAUAAAAUCAUAAUUUAAUAUUGAGAAAAAAGAACCGUCAUACAUUAAAUUUUUGUUUUGAACUGAGUACCGGAUAGCCCACCUGCAACCGUCAACCCAAUCUUGACCACUCAACUCCUUGAGUAGGAGAAGCACCCUCUCCAACUCGCCAUGUAAAUUUCAUAACACAUCCUUGUUAUCCUAAGAAUGUACAAUGAUCGAUGAGUUUUAAGGUUGAAAGUGGAAAGUAUACAAAUUAAUAAUUAAUAAUAAUCUAAAACCCUACCAUGAGACUUACAACAUGUUAUGACCUUUACAAGGUCACUCCAAAAGAGAAACCGUAGAAAGACAACAUAUUUACACAAAUAUACUUGUUCUUCAUAAUAUUCACCGCAAGGUACAUAUGCAUGAAUCAGGGCUACAAAAACUUCUUUUGUCAAGUGGAUUCCAGAUUGUUCCAUCUCUUCAUAAUACUACAAGUAAAUAUUAUAAUUAGCAACUCGAUUAUUGAAAAAUCAAAUAUUAAUCUCAAUACUUGAUUUAAAACUAACGACCAAGUCGCUGAAAGUAUGGGAAUAUAUG
rnacentral:lncRNA from 1 species